AAAUUAAACAUUUAUUAUAGAAAUGCAGCCAUAAAUAAAUUGAGUAAACACACGGAAAACCGAGAAAAACAAAGCCAGGCUGGAGCAGCCGUAUAGCUAGCCCAUCCUUUCCACGCUCCAUGCGCAAGUUGUUGGCCAUGUGGAUGUGGAUGUGGAUGCGGAUGCGGAUGCCCAAUUGGCCAUCAGUGGCCGCUUAGCCGCAGAUGCCAUGAAAUUGAAUAGGCGGCAAACAAAACUGCAAUGCCGCCACAUGCAGAAUGCUCUGCAACUGGCCAAUUUAUCAUGGCAUGUUCGAACGAUUUUUAAUCGAGACCCAUGUCCUUUAGGGUAUUCAAAAUGUAUCAGUAUAUGCACUGAAUUGCUCGUUUUUUUCUGCGGCUCGUUUUAUUUAAAUUGCAUUUGGUUAAGCAUUAAAUUGAUUUUCAUGACUUCAGCUCAAGAGUUAUGCGUCUCCGAAAAACUUCAUGGAGUCUUGGAGUUUUUGGCCACGAGAAGGGGCAAGAAUCGUAGGAUGUGGAGGACGAAGAAAGAGGACUCAGAACCGUCUGCUUUUCGUUGGCCGGAUAAAAUAUGAAGGCCUGACUGGCGGACUGGCUCCGUUUAAUGAGCUCUUCGCAGUGCGAAUCCACAGCCAGGGCACCAGGACCCCAGUUCACCAGUUCACCCGUUCAGCAGGAUCCCAGGAUUCCAGUUGGGACAAGUUUAAGCCACAGAUGGCUUGGCGACGCGUCGCUGCAUCUGACUGCUCCUCAAUUCGCUGCCGCAUUGCGAUUUGCGCUAAUUCACGUGUUUCCGCUUGCCCAACUUCGGGUUGCACUCCCCUUCAAAGUCUGAGCCCUCCACUCCACGCCGGAUCCUGCUCCACUCCAGGCCACUCCUUGUCGCCACAACAGUGCACGGCGAGAAUCAAAUGGUAGAAUCUAACAAACUGCAAGAUACUAGUUUCGGGAACCCACAUACCUUUUCCCACAGUGCUCAGGGUCCUUCCUCUGGCAGCUUUGUGGCUGGUCAAGGACUCACUUGCAGAGAUGCUGCGGCAUUCGCUGAAACUGAAGCAGCGGUCGCGGCUUAGCGCUCAGCAACUCCCCUCCUGCACGUGGAUCUCCCAUCUGAGGAAGGUGAAAAAGUUUAGUGCUGUUGCCACGGUUGUGAUUUCAGCCAAGUUGCAAUGAGCUACACCAUGGCCCCGACUUGCCUGCGGAUUGGAGUACGCAUUGCAGCAGAUGGUACCGAAGUUAAUUGUUCCAAACAUCUCAAACACAAUUACAAAAACUUUGUGGAUUUGCACUGGCUUCAUUUGCUUGCGCAGGACACAUUUAACGAGCUCCAAUGCAUCGAUAGCCACUCAGAAAGGAGCCUGGAUGCACUGAAAACAAUAGUAUGUAGCUAUGGAGUACUCUACAUAUGUAUGUAGUAGUAGUAGAAGUAUACAUUUCGUUCCAUGGAGGAGCUCUUAGUACACAUUUGCUUUUGCAGUGCACCCAAGCGAGGGCAUUUGCAUGGCAGCAUUUGAAUCAUAUAAAAAAAGGAAAAAAAACAUGAAUUGCCAUCGCCUUUGGCGAACGGAGCAGUAUCCAUUUGAUUUCAUUUGCUUGUGGCCUGGCACCUGGAUGGCCAUCGAUUUGAGUGUCGCUCCCCGAGUAUUUUAUUCACCCGCCAAGUGGACGCCACUUUAACGUGGCUUAAAGUCUCCGAGGCAUUAGCAAUCAGCUCCUGACGAAUUUGCCGGCGAUGCGGGAAAUGGCGAUACAGCUGCAGAGCUACGGCUGCGAAUACAGAUACAGAUGCGCAAUCGGAUGUCGAUGCAGCGAUAUAUUGAAAUUCCGGCGUGGCAGGAGCUGUCGAACUCUGCGGUCCAGCAGCUGAAGGAUGCGCACAUCCGCUGGCCGAAAAAAGGAAAGGAAAAUAAACAAAAUUAACGGCGCUUGCCGCUGCUCCUUUUCCUGCGCCAUCGCGCUUUCGGUCCUCGUCCUGGCCGCUUUUGGUCAUUAGAAGUGACGGUGCCGCAAAGCCACGCACUGGGCUCCAGGACCAGCGCCAUCCAGAUCUACCCAGCACUCCGACCGUGCGACAGUGAAUGGUCAGCGGCCCGUUGUCCCCCGUCGGUCAUUUGUCGUGACUCAGUUUUUGGCCUGAGUUCAAUUUUCUGGUCAUGCACAUGGCAGCCGCUGCUGCAGCCCGUCGAAUUUUGUUCAUUAGGCACGCACACACAUGGCUGCGCCCUUCCGUCCGCCGCUUCAGCCACGCCCCCUGCAGGAUGACCUGGCCGUGGCCAUAGGGAUGGGGAUUGGGAUAGGGAUUGCGAUGGGCGAUUGAGAUGGGGUGAUGGCGACUAGAAUUGUUCCGCAGAGAGGCGCACAGCCGGGAUCCGCAAUGUAAUCAACGAAAUCGCUCGAAUCGCCAGAAAUCGGCGUUUUGUCUAGGAGGCAGCGGCAACAAUAGAAAAACAACGAGGCAGGCAGCAGAUCCGGAUCCGGGUCCGAAAACCAGGGCCCGGCCCGUAUCCGUAUCCGCCUGGAGCAGCACGAGUGCAAAAACAUGGGUGGCUAGGUGCCGAGUUGUCUCGACGCUGGCAAUACCCUUGCGAAAUGUGAUGCAUUCGCAACGCAGAUGCAGCAAAAUGG
ensembl:ncRNA lncRNA:CR44801 long non-coding RNA:CR44801